UUGAACGCUGUCGGCAGGCCUAACACAUGCAAGUCGAGCGGAUGAAGGGAGCUUGCUCCUGGAUUCAGCGGCGGACGGGUGAGUAAUGCCUAGGAAUCUGCCUGGUAGUGGGGGAUAACGUCCGGAAACGGGCGCUAAUACCGCAUACGUCCUGAGGGAGAAAGUGGGGGAUCUUCGGACCUCACGCUAUCAGAUGAGCCUAGGUCGGAUUAGCUAGUUGGUGGGGUAAAGGCCUACCAAGGCGACGAUCCGUAACUGGUCUGAGAGGAUGAUCAGUCACACUGGAACUGAGACACGGUCCAGACUCCUACGGGAGGCAGCAGUGGGGAAUAUUGGACAAUGGGCGAAAGCCUGAUCCAGCCAUGCCGCGUGUGUGAAGAAGGUCUUCGGAUUGUAAAGCACUUUAAGUUGGGAGGAAGGGCAGUAAGUUAAUACCUUGCUGUUUUGACGUUACCAACAGAAUAAGCACCGGCUAACUUCGUG
rnacentral:rRNA from 1 species